rfam:Triticum aestivum genome assembly, contig: Triticum_aestivum_CS42_TGACv1_scaffold_602700_7DL
AUAGUACUCCCUUCGUCCAGAAAUACUUGUCCAAGAAAUGGAUGUAUUUUACUUCUAGAUACAUCCAUUUUUAUCCAUUUCUAUGACAAGUAUUUCUGAACGGAGAGAGUACUUG